GUUCAACAGUUUGUCAUUUCCAUUGGAGACUCGGAAGGGAGAGGGUGAGAGAGGGGUGAAGAAUGAGAAAUUACUUACAGGUACAGUGUAAACUAUUUAGAUGAUGGCUGCACUAGUGGCCUGGCCUUCAGCCCUAGGCAAUAUACCCAUGCCACAAAACUGCAUGUGUACCCCCUAAAAUCUAAUUUUAAAAAUAAGAGAUUAAAAAGACGGUUUUUUAAUUUGUGUGUUUAGGUCAUUUCAUUUAAUAACCAUUAUGCUUACAUUUAGGUCUACCAUUUAAAGUUUGUUUUCUGUUUAUCCUUUGUUAUUUGUUCCUCUGUUUCCCCUUUUGGCCUUCUUUUUUGGAUUAUUUAAGUACUUUAUUCCAUUUUUCACGUAUCUAUUGGGGUUUUGACUAUGUUGUUUGUAUAGCUUUAUGUUUUCCUUUGUAUAUUUUUACUUAUUUGUAUUUUUUUUUCCAAUGAAUAUGCAUUAUUUGGACAAUGAAGAAAGGCAAACUGUAAAAGACAAAAAGAAAAAGAAGGACCUCCAGAGUGGCAGAAUAACUCCUCGCCUGUCAGGUUUUAUCCCACCCAGGAUGUACCUCAUAAAAGGCACCUGGGUUUUUUCUGGAUGUGGGAACCUGUGGUAGAAGGGAGCCACCCGUCUCACCAGAAAACAGGUCUGUCACACACUGCCCUGUCCGUUUGGAAUUUAGGGCCUUCUAGUCCCAGCAGCAACAAUCCAGAGAAUCUUAUUUUGAUCUUGAUCCAAGUUUAGGUUCCAAACUUCAAAUCUGGCUGUCUCACAAUGGGCCUAAGGAAUUCCUUUCAGUGUUGUGGCCUCUCUGUCCCUCUCUUGAAUUGACAACAGAUGCCUAACUAAAAGAAUUAACAAAUUCCUUGUAUCAGAAGGUGAGAGGACGUCUCUCUUCAUCUAUUAGUGCAGAGGAUAUUGAAUCUGCCCUUGGAAAGAAAGAAUCCUUGGUCUGAAAACAAAGUCCAUGCUUCACACCAUUAUGCCCACUGUCCAGGCCCAACUUCUGGAAUCAGGGAGUCUAGAAAAAGCUUCAUCCAUCAAGUGGCCAGACAGCUCCUGGCUGAGGUCUAUGCCACCAGCAUCUCUCGUCUUCCUGUCUUGCUUAAGGCCUCCAGGAACCAACCAGCUCUGCUGAAGUGGGUGAGAUCCCAGAUUCAAAGAAGUGGGCACAACGAUUGGUCAUCUGAACCUCUAAGGAAGAAGGAAGUGUGAAUCACAUGUGAUUAGAAAUAGCUCAAGCAUCUGACAGAUAACUGUGUGCCUGGGUGACUCGAAAUGGCAGGGGGCAUGUGCCUAAAUAUCUCAACAGUAUUCUUAUCCCUGAAUCCCCCAGUGUUCUGUUCUGUUCUCCUGAUAAUGGUGUCACUCUGAGGGUUUCUGGAAAGUCCUGUGGAGGUUUAUGCCCAUGACUCAGGCAUCCAACAAAGAUACAGUGCUAAGAAAAAACACUGAGCUCAAUUUGAGACAUGACAUUAGCUAGAGCACAUAAUGGAAAGCAGGGCAAGGGAGGAAAUAUGUGUGAAUUUAGGCAUAAAAAGAAAGAACACAGGAUUGGGAUUUGACUUAUCCUUCCCUUGUGGCUGGGCCAAGGGAGGGCCCUGAGUGCAUGCGAGUGCCUGCAAAUGCUCAGCUGUGGGCACAACUUCUCACAUUCUGUGACAUCCUCUGUUUCCUGGCCUGUUCCCAUGGGACUCUUCUGUCCUGACCUUUCAUCAUGGAUGGUCUCUGGGUGGCUAUUGAAGUGAUUAAACUACUUCCUGAACUCUGAUAUAGAUAGAGGCAAAGGACAGACUUGGAUUUGCUGUCUUUCUCCUCCUCCCCGGCUUGUGCCUUUAUCUUGUCCUGUAUUAGUUCAAGAAUCCAUAUGAGUCCCCAACUGACAGAAAUAGAAGUCCAGGCUCCACAGCCAGGCACCCAAGACUGUCCCAUCCUGAAUGCCUUUGAGGGCCCUGUAUGAUCCUCCCAGGCCAGCCAAAUGGUGGGUCUGCCACCCUAAGAUUUCCUGCUCACAUUUUCUUCUGCCACCACACCAUGACCUUGGCAGUGCUCCUUCAGAGCCUAGUUUCAUACUUACCUUUUCUCAAUCUACAGGGACUUAUUUUCCUUCUCAACCACAAUAGCAACAGUCUACUCCAUGCUCCUAGGACUCCCUAAGAACUUGUAGCCUAUUGACAUGUCUUGCUAACAUUUCAUGCAUGCGUGUGUACAUGUGUGUAUGCAAGUGUAUAUCUUGACUCCCAACUGACUUACAAGCUCUCAAAGGUCAAAAGCCAUUAUUAUCCUCCUUUGGAAAAUCUCUGAAGUCACUAACACUAUGUUUGUUAUAUAACAGAAUGUUAAGGAACUUUUCCUGUUACUUGAGUAUUGACAAUUAGGAUCUACAAAUGAGGACAAAGUUCUGUACCCCAAAUUUUGUGACGAGCCAAAAAUAUUUGGAAGGCAAGUGCCUGUUUGGGUUUUUAAUAGCUCUGCUACCAUAUCUACCACCUUAUCAUCUCCCUCUGUUGCUUAUUUAUUUAUGUAGAUCUGACAAUUGGGUGUGGGCUGAGGAGAGUGGAAUGAGGAGAAGGAUUGCUGGAAAAUUAUUUGAGUGGUGAGUUGUCAGCCUUUCUCAUCUCAGUGGGGAUGGAGAGGUCUGUGUUCCACAGGAAACAUUCCUUAGAUGAGGGUGGCUCCUAUAAGAAAAGGGAGAUAGACAUUACAUUUCCUGGCUGGAGGUCUUAAUUAGCACAGUUGAUUAGCUUAAUUAGCACAAUUGAUGAUCUACCACUUGUACCUAUUUGAGUAGUGAAGAAGAAAGGUGAGUAGAGAUGCAAGUGUGGAGAUUGGCCUCAGCAGCAGAACAUGGCCAAGUAUGUAUGAGUUUCAUGUAAGUUAAGUAGACAUGGAAGGUUCCUGGGAUUGAGCUAUCUUGCUGGUACCUCCUGCUGGCUGAUGGAUGUGAUAACACUUGGCAUAAGAGACUGGAUAUGAAACCAUUAAGAGGUUUAGGAAGAUGUCAAGCUGGGGUGGAUUUCCCCUGUGCAGAGUGGAGGCCCCCUUCAAAGACCCAGUAAACUUACCCAUAAGCCCCAUUGGAGAGCCCGCACUGGGGUGCCUUUCUUACUGAGGGCAGUGACAGUCUAGGCAGGCAACAACCAUGCCAAUUAAGUCAAAACUCUACUACUUUCUCCUUAUUAGUACCUCCUGUUUGAGGACACCAGAGGAGAAAAUGUCCUAAAAAUAGGAGGAAUGAAAAGGUGGAACAUGCUCCCUCCCUUUUCUGGCCUGGCUAGGUCUGAAUCUGGGGAAGAGCAGGAAGUGAAAUGGACAUUCAUUUGGAAAUGAGAUUGAGGAUUUAAAUUGAGAUUAGGAAGUUAUAGAGCAUAUCCAACAAAUAAAUAGGGGACAAGAGAAAGAUCUGAGAGGACAUCAUUUAAUACAUCAGUGGAAGAAAAAUUGUUUGGUAUGUGAACUCUAUUGAGUGCAAAUAAUUUAAUAAACAUGUUCUAUUGACUACAUGACACUGAUAAAAUUAAUUAUAAUCUACUGAUCUUCUCUCCCGACCACCUCCCCCCACCACUUAUUUCCUCAUGGAAUGCAAAACUAGGGUAGUACUAGAUUCCAUUAUAUCAUAAGGGUUGUGAUCACAGUGGGCUGAGCAUCACCUGAUGAGCUCAUCAAUAGACAGGACAUUGAAUGAAAAUAUGUCUUCAGAGUCAUAACCUUUACAAAUUCUGUUCCAUGAUGUUCAGGAUGCGUCUUGGAGCAUCUUUAAGGGCUGUAGCAGUAGGUUAGAAAGGACACUUGAUACAUUUGGCUCUGGGCCCCCAGGCCUGGCUUAAUCAGAGAUUUCAAAUAUUUAUUUAUGUUUUUUGUAUUUUUUGGAAAAAAAUACUUCUAUGGUUAAAAAUAAUUAAAAUUCAUUGGCCUAACAUCUCCUAACCUAAUGUGCACAUCUACAUCCCCAUGGAGCCGUCAUCAUUCAAAAGACCUUCAGUGAAAAAAACAGUCAACCCCUGUCUGCCAGACCCUAUGCUAGAUUCUGGAUACAAAGAAGAACACAUAAUUAGCAGGUUGAUUUUUGGAGAUUUUUCUCUUCUCCCUGCUUAUUACCUGAAGUUACACAGGAAGUUCAGAGAAAGAAGAUUAUAAAAAUGUUUGGUGCAGAUUAAUGAUUCCAUCUUCUACCCUUGAUCUGCAACAUGCAUGCAACUAGGAGGCAGGUGGAAGGAAAGCAGGUAUAUUUCAAAUUAUCCAGAUGCUCCUGGAUUCCUAUCUUAGCUGUGCACUGAUAAAUAGUUUCAUAGAUAAAUUGACAUCUCAACACAUUGUGUAAUACCUAGAGGGAGCAAAUAAUCAAUAUU
ensembl:lncRNA